CCUACGGGAGGCAGCAGUGAGGAAUAUUGGUCAAUGGGCGAGAGCCUGAACCAGCCAAGUCGCGUGAGGGAGUACUGCCCUAUGGGUUGUAAACCUCUUUUGUCGGGGAGCAAAAGCCGGACGUGUCCGGCUGUGAGAGUACCCGCAGAAAAAGCAUCGGCUAACUCCGUGCCAGCAGCCGCGGUACUACGGAGGAUGCGAGCGUUAUCCGGAUUUAUUGGGGUUAAAGGGUGCGCAGGCGGAUUUUUAAGUCAGUGGUCAAAUCGUGGGGCUCAACCCCAUCCAGCCGUUGAAACUGGGGAUCUAGAGUGUGCGAGAGGUAUGCGGAAUGAGUGGUGUAGCGGUGAAAUGCAUAGAUAUCACGCAGAACCCCGAUUGCGAAGGCAGCAUACCGGUGCACAACUGACGCUCAGGCACGAAAGCGUGGGUAUCGAACAGGAUUAGAUACCCCAGUAGUC
rnacentral:rRNA from 1 species